GACAGAGGGUGCAAACGUUGUUCGGAAUUACUGGGCGUAAAGCGUGCGCAGGCGGUUAUGUAAGACAGAUGUGAAAUGCCCGGGCUUAACCUGGGAACUGCAUUUGUGACUGCAUGGCUAGAGUUUGGCAGAGGGGGGUAGAAUUCCACGUGUAGCAGUGAAAUGCGUAGAUAUGUGGAGGAACACCGAUGGCGAAGGCAGCCCCCUGGGUCAAGACUGACGCUCAUGCACGAAAGCGUGGGGAGCAAACAGG
rnacentral:rRNA from 1 species